AGGAAUAGUGUGCUCAGCUGUCUGUGACAACUGCAGAGACAAUGACACUACUGAGGGCUGCGUGUUAUGUUUGGUGGAAUAUUUUUCAGAUAUUGUCUUCAUUGGCUUCUGAUAAAGAGUUCCAUCUGAGUGUUUCAUGGUAACAGAGUGGGGGGAUUUCCCUCUGCCUAGUCCGACAUAUACAAACCUGUCAUCUGCAGCUCUACGUGUGUCUGCUAGCACUGGCUUUUACCUUUUACUACCACCCUGACAACUAACCUUUCAACUAAAUCCUGUCCUUACUCUGUGGUAGACCAGGUUUAUUAUAGUAAUACGCAAAUUACUAUAUUAUUUCCUGUUUCAAAAUAAAAGCCACUACAGUGAAAUGGCCAGAAUUUCAAUGACAUUUUUCUGUCUGGUCUGAUCUAAGAUAAAAUAUAGUUAAAAGUAGAAUCCUUUCAUAAAACAAAAUGCUGUAGAUGUGCAGUAUCAACAAAAAAACAAUAACAAAAAGCAGCUCCAGCAAAGCCGUCAAUAUGCAUUAUUUGUUAAAAAUCCAUCAUGUUGACAGCUAGUUACUGGAGGAACAUAUUCACAGAGGAUGUCUUGCAGCAAACAAACAGGAUGCAUUUAGAUUUGUUGUUGCUUCAUAAACUCUCCUAAUAUUAUUUUUACCUCCCACUAGUUUAUCAGUGAAAAGCUCUUAAUGUGAAGUAGCAAAAGGAAUGUAAGUGAAGGCCCGGUCCUUAUUCCCAGUACUGUGUUUUCAUAGAGGAAAAGUCCCAGAAUGCUUUACAAACAGAAUAUAACACAGAGUAAGGCAACGAUACUGGGUAUGAUGUCCAUAAAUGUAAAUAUAUGGGGAAAUAUAAAAGAAAACAGAAGAGGGAAAGGAAUGUGCAAAUUCACAAUGUCAGUAGAAUUUAAUGCAAAGAAGAAUCUGCUAUGAAUUGUAUAUUUAUUCUCAUGUCUAAGGUGUUGAAUGUUGAAAACUAAUACAGUUGCGAUGUUUCUUAUUUCCAAGACUCAUCUGGUUUCAGUUCAGGGAUGGAAAAAGAAAGAAAUAGGGUUGGGCUAAAACCGCAAAUGUGUUCCUCUACAUAUGCAUACCUCACACAGAUAAACCGUUAUAACAUGAGGAAAGCAACAACACCCUGAACAUAGGGAGGUUUGAGGUCUUUAUUGGCAAUUAAUACAAUAAAUGAAAAGGAAUCUGAAAGAAAGCUGCGACUGACUUACAUUUGACCUUUGUAUGAGUCACUCUGAUGAAGAAUCAUGAACAUGUGGAUGCGGGAGUGGAGGGAGGUGGAUGUUGUUCUCUCUAUUUUUGGUGACUCUGCAGAGGGAGGAGAGGAGCCGUAGUGGGUUUGCCGUGACAAAAGUUGCAGCACACUGCAGUUAUUGUGCAGAGAUUGAUCACAUUUUCCACAAUCCACCACCUGCCGACUCAGCACCGCACUGUUUAUCUGUAACACCGCUUAAAUUAGUUUAGUGGGGACACGCCUGCUUAAAUGUAUUUAUUCCCAGAGUCACUUUCAGUUUAUACAUAUCAGCUUUAAAAUGACCGUCAUUCUGCACAAAUCAAAAAUGAGCAUCAACUUAAUAGGCUUAAGGUAUUUUGACGUCCCACUUAUAUCAGCGAGGUUAGACUAAUAUUUAUAGACUGUAUAGAAGAAACGCUACUACUGUACAUCUGAGGUCUGAAAGCUGCUCAGACUCUCAUAUAUGCACCUUAACCCAAUGUUAGAGACUGUAGGAGGCUGGUAUUUUUACUCUUCAUCUCUACAGGGUUUGACAGGGUACAGGUCCCCCUGGUGGACAGUCCUCCUGCAUGUGAUAAUGCCUCAUGGGCUGCAUCACCUGUCCUGUAUCUGCAGGACAGUAGUCAUACUGAAGGACAUUCGGUCAAACAAGCACUUCAGUGCCUCCAUCAUCAUCAUAACACUCACAUGCAGACUGAAUAUGGUCUGACUUAAGGUAGAGGUCUAUCUUAGGUGGAGCUAAUUUACUUUAAAAACUAAAACGAAGCUGAUCGAGGCAGUGAUUUUUACUUUUACAAGAUAUUCAAUUAGAAAAAUUCAGCUACAGUAUUGAAAAGAAAUCUAUUCUGUGAUAAUAUUGCUAAUUAAUGUUGCAUUAUACUAACUCUCGAGACUUCUGCCCAUAUUCUCAUCACUUUAUAUUCCCUUCAACCUGUUCUUCUUUUCAUUUUUCCCACUGCAGUAGUCUUGAACCACAAACAAACCAAACAAUUCUAAUCUACAUUUUCUUCCUUUUUGUCAGUUGGAGCCACCAGUUAGCGUAAAGCUCUGUAAAACCUGGAAAAUGUUACACUGGUCUGUAGAGAGGUUAAGUUCUGCAUCUUCAUGGAGUCGAAAGUUGGAAAAAAAUAUGAGUGGUGGUCAGUGGUGAAAGAUAGAAAAUGUCUUGAUCCUGUUUAACUCAUGCCAUAAGUUAAACUUAAGUUUGUCAAUUUACAGGAAAAUUAUGCAAGUCAAUAAAAUAACACUUCAGCGUAAAACUGUUGAAGGAUCAAACUGUGAAAAUACUUGAAUAUAAUGACUACACACUUCUAACUCACAUGAAUUCAUUUCUUCACAAGGUGUUCAGAGCCUGUGGAAAUGUCUCUGCAUCCUCAACAUGACCAGAGUUUUAGGAAUUUUCACCUCUUCUAUUAUUUUUUCACUUGUUUGAGAUUAAAUGUGAGACAGAUGAGAGCUGCAGUCCACUGAGACGAACACACUACUGCUCUUAGAUGAUUACAAGGCAAACUAGACAGUUUUACAAAAUAAAGUUAGGCUUAUUUAAAGUCUGAAAAGUUACUAGUCUACUCUCAGUUUAAUACGAACUGAUAUUUGAUGGAAUUGUAACUUCCACUUUAACCUGUGGCACCAACUGACAAAACGGAGGCAAACAUGAACUUUUGUGACUUGAUUGUGAAAUAAGAAAUGUUGUUACAAAACAAUAUAUUUCAAAGUGUUUUUAGAAAUCACAGUCAUUUAUUUAGUCAAAAUUAACUCUUCUGAGCCUGAAAGAAUUAUCAGUCAUGAACAGCUUUGUGCAACAGCCACAGUACUUUUAGACAUCUAUGUGAAGUCUGACUAUCAGAUCUAAAACGUAGUCUUUGUAAAACUGGCCUAGGGACAGAGUUACUGAUGUUUCAAGCUUAAAAAUAAACCAGUUUUUCUCUGUAAAAGAAGACUCUCAGCCCAAAGUUGAGAUUGAUCUGACACUGAACACCAGUCAAACCUUAAACCCGUUUAUUUCUGUGACAGUAGCAAAACCACAAUCACCACAAUAUAUGCAAGUGCAGAAUGGAAGUUCAGCAUAAUAUCCUGUAUAUUAUAUUACAUUGUAACUAUUGAUACGUUCUUGUUUCCGUCUUUAAUGUUGUAGUUGAUAAUGGCAUGGCUCACUUUAAUAGAAGACAUGACUUUAUUGAUCCCACUGUGGGGAAAUUUCAGUUGACAGCAGCAAAAAGCAAGUGCAGAGA